GUGGGGAAUAUUGGGCAAUGGGCGAAAGCCUGACCCAGCAACGCCGCGUGAAGGAAGAAGGUCUUCGGAUCGUAAACUUCUAUCCUUGGUGAAGAUAAUGACGGUAGCCGAGAAGGAAGCCCCGGCUAACUACGUGCCAGCAGCCGCGGUAAUACGUAGGGGGCAAGCGUUGUCCGGAAUGAUUGGGCGUAAAGGGCGCGUAGGCGGCCUGGUAAGUCUGGAGUGAAAGUCCUGCUUUUAAGGUGGGAAUUGCUUUGGAUACUGUCGGGCUUGAGUGCAGGAGAGGUAAGUGGAAUUCCCGGUGUAGCGGUGAAAUGCGUAGAGAUCGGGAGGAACACCAGUGGCGAAGGCGACUUACUGGACUGUAACUGACGCUGAGGCGCGAAAGUGUGGGGAGCAAACAGGAUUAGAUACCCGAGUAGUCC
rnacentral:rRNA from 1 species